ensembl:lncRNA LOC108352541 uncharacterized LOC108352541
CAGAUAGUACGGUGGAGCAGGGAUCCCUGAGCACAAGUGGCCGAGUUCCGAGGGACUUUAGGAAAUGCUUCUCCUCCCUUCCUGGGCAUGCAAACAAGAUUCUGCACCUGCACCGCAGUUUGUCCGAGACAGAAGCCUCUGCCUCGCCUCGCCUCGCCCGCAGGGACAAGGAACUAGAGCAAGAAGCAGCAUUUGAAAAUUGCUCUGGAUUCAAGGACCAACACAUCUCAUGAAGGAGAAAGAAGGCAGCUCCAUCGACAUGUUCAAAGGCCAUCCAGUAGGAACCACAGCCAUGUGCAUGUCCCUGAGGAACUUAAAGAGCAAAAUCAGGAGAUGGAUGAAGUCAGGUGACUGCAGACAUGGCUGCUGGAAUCAGAGCCAGGAGGAGUAGACGGCCAGAGCCUGGUGUUUGCUCACUUCCCUGUAGUUUUGAUUUGCUCCUGAGGAUGCCCAGAAGAAAAGAAGCCCCACGAGAACUGGUAGCUGUGUGAGCACAGAGAAGCAUGACAGACAACUGAUACAUCGGAUCUUUAGAAGUACUGUCAGUACUCUGUAGGAAAUACAGCUUACUCUGGAAAACACAAUUGACACAACUGUUUAAAAGAAACAAAGAUAUUAAACACACCAAUAAAUAACUGUACAUUAAAGUUGUAACAUUCUUUUUGUUGUUGAUUUUUGAGAUAACAGUACAGACUAGCCUCAAACUCACAGUCAUCCUCCUGCCUCUGUCUUCAGUGCUAAGUUUACAGAAAUUAGUCGACACACGACAUAAAACUUUAAUUCUACCCCUUAACCAAUUAUUGAGUUUUCCUAGGAAAAUAGAUUUCUUUAAAACCAUUUUGCUAAUAUUUGAAUCAGCACACAAAAUUGUAUAGUUUUUAAAAAUUUGGUAUGUAGGAUGCCUUAAUUCCUUAAAGUUUGCCACACCUCCCCUGGUUAGGAAUGCAAGCUUGGGAUGUUUUGAAGAAAUCAGGGUGUUUCUCUUCUACAGAUGGUUUGAUUGAAAUGUUUUAAGGAUAGGUGUCUCUUCAGUCAAACCUAAACAUUUUGAUGAAAUGUUUGAGUGGUUCUCAGUCUCCACCUACAAAUGCCAUUUGCUGUUUAUGUGGGACGAACGUCUUGCAAACUAAGGUCGUGCCUAAAUAAAACAGAAAUUCUAUAACCAUCUGCUUUAAAAGAGAUUAAACCAGAAUUUUGCCAGUUACAUUUCCCCAGCGUUAAUUUUAUGUAAUAAAAUUAUAGUAUAUUGUGCAUAGCAUCUUUAGUUAUGAUGCUCUAGGAAUGCCUAUGGGUGGUGUCGAAUUAUACACACGAGCAUGUAUUCCAACUCUAUUGGGAGUUUUUAAAGGUGCAUUGAGAGGUGUCAGUGGAUCAUAAUCCAUUUCAUUCAGAAACUGGGCUGCAUACUUUAGCUUCUACUUCUGGUUUGAGGAAAUGAAGGGAGGUAAAAUAUGAAGUCUUAUCAAGAACAGUGUUAGGGGCUGGAGAGAUGGCUCAGUGGUUAGGAGCACCGACUGCUCUUCUAGAGGUCCUGAGUUCAAAUCCCAGCAACCACCUGGUGGCUCAAGAACACUGUUUACUCCACUGUCAAAAUGAGCAGUGCAAUCUUACACAGCAGCUUGCUUUUCCCAAGAAGGCGACUAGCCAAGCUUAACCCUCACACUGGGGUAGGAGAUAUUUAACUCAGAAUCUCAGUACAAAGAGAAGCCUUCAGUUCAGAUGUCCUGCUGAUCCAAACCAAGUAGCUAUGUUUUCUGCACCGGGGUGAAAACUCUUCGCAGGCCUUGGAAAUUAGAGUGGAGCUUUGGGUAGAGAGGAAUUUCACUUGUCUCGUGGAACCGUACCACUGUGAUGGAAGGCUCUCAUUUCCCACGUGGGUAACAUGAAUUAUAGCAACGAUGGCCAAUUUAUAUCGAGGGAAAAGUCUGUUAUUUUUCUCUAGGUCAGGGUCACUCAUCCUGACCUCUGCUGAUAUUUUAAUCUAUAUAAUUCUUUUCAUGGGGAGAUCUCACAGUCUUGGCUUCUGCCUGCUGUGCGACAGUUCCUCCCUCCCUAACAACUCAUAUUCAUACACAACCAAAGGUCCUUCAGAGACUGCCAGCUACCUGCGAAAUAUAUUUGGUAUCUUCUUUGAUCUACACAUACAAUUAGUUAUAUUAGACCUUCACACUCACUUCAAUAGAAUUUUUGUGUGUGUGCAGCAGUUUUCUGAACAGAGCAGACAGCUUUGAUGCAAAUGCUCCUGCCAAUCCGUAUCUUAUCGGUGUGUGUAAAACUGUAAUUCCGGCUGUGUGCCCCUCACCUGCAUCACUCACGUGAUUAACGUAAUAAUAUUAAGAGUCAUCGAAUGUGGGCUAAUACUGCUUUAUUUAAAACCAUUCAAAGUGCCCAGCUAUGCUGAUAUAAAAUAGUUGCCUUCAUUUGGAUGUGAAACACUCUUCUUAGGCGUUAUCAUUAGAUAUAAUAAUAUGUUUUUAGAACCUAGUUUUGACAGUGUUGAAGAAAGCAGGGCGAUUUGGAUGACUUCAUGGGAAACAGCAUAUAAAAGUGGUAUUAAUUGUGCUUUGUCAUCGGUUUGGAAUUUCUCCAACUACUAGUUUCCUUGAGAAGGCACGUAAAAUAUUGAACGCUGAAGAAAAUUCGAAGCAAACAUGUAUGACCAACAGGGAAGUAGGUUGAUAAUUAUGGUCCUUUCCAGGCAGGAAGAGACACCUUGCUUUUGAGUAUGUGUUCAUGUGUUUGUUGGCUGGUAGUGAUUUUGAUUGGAAGGAAAAACAUAAAAUUCUCAUAGUCACAUAGAAAGCAAGAAGAUGAGUCAUCAAAAGGAAAAUGUUCUGGGUACAACUUGAGAUGACGAAAGGGAAAAUACAUGCCAUGGCCUUAACUUGCUCUUUUUAAAACUGUUAAUGUGAUUAAGAUAGUAAGUAUAUUGUAGUUUGAACUCAUUACCAAAAGUGAAUAAUCUGGGUCUGUUAACUGAGGAAGACUAAUUUCCUGAAUAAAUCGAUAAUUUCCCUUUGAGUGAACGUGCACGUGUGUUUGCACAUAGGCUUGAGUUUACAUGUGGGUGGGUCAUGUGGCCUCCCCAUUGCAUACCUGUGGGACAAAGCUGAUUUUCCUCCUUAUUCAUUUUAGUUUUUUUCCAAUUUUUCAAAAGUUUCCGUGGUUCUCUGCUUCAUGACUUCUACCACGUGAUACAGAGGCAGUAAAGUUUAAACAUGCCUUGUUUACGUUAUUAUGUGUUUACAGUUUCAGAUUUUAAUAAGUCAUCCAGAGCCACAUACUGUGGUAUGGUGAGAGAACAGGCUUUCCUCCGAGGGCCUUAGUUGUAUGCUAAUGCAGGACCUGGGCUAAACUCCAUUCAGGGGUAACUUGUAGCAUCACAGAACAUACAGCUGUAUAUCGGUAGUGUCAAGAGUUAGACAUAAAAGCCAGAAGACUUUAGGGCUCCAGUUUGUAGUAACUACAUCAAACCAUGGUCUUACGUUUCUAGCUCAUUGUUUUUCUUUAUGAGGAGGUUAUAAUGAGUGUGCUUUGUUUGAUAUGUCACAUAAUUUUUAAAAUUAUGGUGGAGUCUUUCCCUGGUCAUAAAUAACAGGAUCUGAAAUAAAAGGGAUGAAUAGAUAGGAGAACUUAUUGCUAGUAGAUGUUUCAUGUGAUAAAAUAAACUUUUAUAGUGAACGAGUUCACAUCAAAGAGAGAUUACAACUUGGUUUAAUGGUGAACUGGGAAAUAGAUUUUCAGCAACUUUGUGGCUAAAGGCAUUUCUAAUGAUCACAGUCUGUUCUACACUAGAGUUUUACAAAACGUUGGCUGCACCAGGACUACUCAAAGGGUUGUGAAAAUAUAGAUUUCUCAGCUUUGGGCCAGAGUCUGCUUCAAGUGAAUUUUGACAACCUUGUAUGUAUGACCAGUUGUCCGGUGGUUUGUGUCAGCUCCUGCAGGUAUGACCAAUUGUCCAGUGGCGUCAGAUGGCCACUGUCGUAGAGCUUUACUGACCCUCAGGAACCAACUCUCAGUUGGAGCUAAGAACUUUCUCUUUGAUAGAAAUGACAACUAGUACAGGUUAAAUAAAUAAGUUCGUAAGUUGGGAAUACUCAUUUGUAAUAGACUGACAGCUUUAUCAGAGGAAUGGAUGGAUUGUGAAUGAAGUUGUUUCCAACAAAUUCCUUCACAAGAUAUUAAAGACAGGAAAUACAAAUAUCAGCCAGCUUAAUUUUAAAAGUAUAUAAUAUAUAGUAACACAAAACAAAAAUACCUCCUAUCAUCAAUGUUUUAUUCAUCUUUUCUUGAUUAUCUCUGUUCUACCUGCUCUCAAGGAAUUAACAACUCUGGUUUUUCAUAGUUCAGCCACACCCAAUUAUCCAGUAUCUCUUAGCCUUCUAUGGUUUUUUAUCACUUACAUGUACUACAGGUAUCUACUAACUCAGCACGGUUACUUAAAAUCCAUUAAGACUUGAAUAAAUUGAAUUAAAUGCUAAUCCACGGGAUAGAGUGCAUUUCAUAAGUUAGACAGAACUGCAAAGCAUAUCUCGACGGAUAUUCAGGGCUACCCUCCAUGGUGGUGGAGACCACACACCUGAAGCACAUGCUGUAGCUAAUCAUGUGGAUGAGACUGUGGGAAUUGUGGCCAUUAAACAUGGAAUACAGGGUGUUGAGUGCUGGCUUCUCUCUUGUACGUUUAGCUACCUGAGUAGCCCCUGAGUCAGAUGUCAGACGACUCAUCCUAAACCAGGGGUCAGCUUCUCAUCUUCACUCCCAUUUUGACACCAUGACAGAAGCACAAGUAAGAAUGGCUUGCUGGGUGACCGUUUAGUUGAAGAUUAUCCUUUACCACAGCCAGUCAGCUGUCACCAUGCAGCUUUCUACAUAAGGCUUGGUGUUUUAUAAGAAGUUGAAGACAGUAGAAAUGAAAAUGAUAUGAAGUCCUUCUCUUCAUGCUCGGGAGAAUGAAUCCAAAAUUGAAUUAUAGAACUCACCAUAAACCAGGGCACCAACUCUUCUGCUUAUCUGGCAGAAACAGUGAAAUCAUUUAACCAAAUUAACAACACAAACCUUUGCAAACAAGACACCGUCAAUUGAAUUAAUAUCUAAUUUGUCAAUAAAUAUUUGUUACAGUUGACAAUAAAUUCUGACACACCAAUGCAUGUGUGCUUUAAGAUUACACAUAGAAUUAUGACUCUUGAGUGUACCUGUGGAGUGAAAGCUUGCUGAGAUCUGGAAUCUGGUAGUUGUUCCGACUACAGAGCAAGAGAAGAUGGAAAUAAUUGUUUCUGGUGGAAAACUGGAAAGCCAUCAUCCUUUCCCCCCUAUUCCAUUAGUGCUACUUGCAGAACCUUGAGUAGAGGUACUGAUUCAUUAGUGAGUAAAUAUUUUUAUAUCCCCAAAUGCAGUGGAUAAACACUCCAUUAGAACACUAAUAAUUAAACUUCACAUUUUUAUUUCCUGGCUUUAUAAACCAUUGUUUUCCAAUACCUUGCCAACAGUAUCCAAAUUUGGGAGUUAGGGUUAGAAGUUGUCUUCUGGGGGUUGGGGAUUUAGCUCAGCGGUAGAGCGCUUGCCUAGCAAGCGCAAGGCCCUGGGUUCGGUCCCCAGCUCCGAAAAAAAGAAAAAAAAAAGAAGUUGUCUUCUGUUUAGAAUGACUAAAAUGGCUAUAAUUAGAACAAUGUAGGUCUGUCUCCCCUGUCCUUUCUGUUUUCUAUGUAGUUUACCAAUCUUAGCUUUCCUUUUUUACAGAGGCAAAAGUAUAGAUCUCUUUGACACAGGACUUGUAGGUCAUCAUGUGCCUCUCCAAAGCAUUGUUGAUCCUGGAUUCAGGGUUCUGAAUGGUGGGGAGGAGCAAACUGUGAUGACAAAAUUGUAUCCUUUUCUUCCUGCAAUUACUUCAGCGUCCAUAUAGCCUUGACAUCUGGAAGCCCCCAGCUACUGUCGCAGCUGUGAUUCCUGCACCAUUGCAGGAAGUUAAGCACAUGUUGCAAAGAACACUCAUUGUUUUGGUAUUUUCUGGGAACUCAAAAUCCAGGCUAUUAGAGAGCAUACACUUGGUUCCAUGGACAUAUUGGAAUCAUGUACUCAUGUGAACCGCACCAUAAUAUGAACCACUUACUUACAGAUGGUGUAGGCUGUGUUUUCUUAGCAACACACACACACACACACACACACACACACACACACACACACACACACGCACACCACAUAUCAUGGCUACAUCCUGAAUUUGGCCAUUUUUAGAUAUACACUGGUCUUCAUUGUUCUUGUCUUUGAUUUGGAGACAUCUGCCAACGUUUUCUCCAAUGAUCAAGGUGAGAGGGACAUGUGCCUCAAGACACAGUCCUAUUUAAACUGUGGGAAGAGAAUUAAGUUAGACAGUAAAUGGGAGAAUUUUACCACUCUGUCUUUGUUCAUAUAGAACUUCAGGUAACAAGCAAAUGAACUCUAAAACACUUAGGAAUCAGUUCAAAAAAUCUUCAGUUUCCCAAAUGAAAUACAGAGUCACCGAGUGUUGGUAAAAUCCAGCUGACUUUUGGCAUCAGAUCAGUGUAGGGAAUGGUUUUGUGAUUUGAAGCUGAUGAACACUUAUGGCUGUUUACAUGGCAUGCUUUGAUUCUUUUAAAAUGAUCAAAAGGAGUGGGCGCUACAUGGGCUAGCUAUUAACUUAUCUUCAAAAAAAACAUAAUGACUAUCCUCAGCUUAAGAGCAUUAGUAGGUUUUGUUCACAAAAUUAAGAGGGAGAUGGAUUUUAUUAAUGCUCCAUAAUCAUUUUGUUAAUCAAAAUGAUUGCCAGCAAUCUUCUAGAAACUAAACUGCUCCAGAAGAGAUUGAGUAUUGCUGUCGCUCACAGUGCCACUUGGCAAAAAUAUAAUUGCAUAUGAUUUUUAUUUAGUUUACUGAUUGUAUUUUUAUUUCUGUUUAUUCAUCUUGCUUUCAUUUACUCCAAAACAUUAAAAUAGUCUCCGUAGCAUAUUAUUCACCCUAACUUGCUACUUAAUUCAAUAUUUCCCUUUGCCUGAUUAUUUUUAAUUUUGCACUCAUAAUGAUUAAUGAUCUCUUAUAAUUCAACAGUUUAUUUCAGAUGAUUAAAGUAGGCUUGUCUCAUUCAUGCGAUGGCUUCAAAAUCUAUCCUCUUUUGGUUAGAAUUUUUGACAGUGUAUUUACAAUAUGUUCAUAAGACAUUAAUUUUAUAUAUGUUCGAACAGUGUGUUUAGCUUUAGAGGAUUGCUCUUCUGAUAACCAGAAUUUAUUGGACAUUAUUCUAAUAUUUGAAUAUGAUGUUUCAUACUGAAGACUUAACUUUAAAACAAAUCUUUGUUUGAAUAGUGGCUGGUUUUUCUACCUCUGUUGCCUUCCAAAACCUUGCCAGGGCUCAUCUUUCUGAGUAGCAAUUACGAAGCCCAGAAAGAUGUUUAGAUGAAUUUUUUAAAACCCAAUUUAAAAUUGCACAGAAUGCACAAUACAUCUUGUCCAGUUGCCUGGUUGCCUUUCUCCGUCUGCAUUUUUGUUCUCUUAGUGACAAUUCACUUUUCAUUGCCCCACGGUGAGCAAGAGCAAGUUUUGUAUUGGUUUGAGCAAUUCGUGAGCAUUCAGACACAGGUGAAGUAUUUUCAGAAUCAAUACAGCAGAAUUGUGUUUGGGAUGGUCUGUUCACACACCAUUGAUGCUUUGUAACACAUUGGAGAAAACACUCCUUUUUACUGCUACUUAAACAAGAGGGCAUGGAGCAUUCCAUUUGCAGAGAAGUUCCAUCCAUCUGCUCAUGGGCAAAGGGGAAGGCAAAGAGCUGCAGUUGGGGAGACCAUACCCUAGUCUUUCCUGAGAGGAGAUUCAGCUCGCUUUAAAGAUUCCUCAACAGAAAGGACCCCCACCCCAACCCCAUUUAUCUGGCUUACAGACCACUUGCAAUCGCUUAGGGCAGGUUAAUGAUGUCAUUUAGCAGCUGCAGUCUUGACGUAGAUUGUUUCCUUAUUGAAGAGCACUGUGCAAGCCUGAUUUUGAAUUGUUUCUGUUGGACAUCUAUGUGUCAGAACUUAAGCUUUUCUCCGUAUUUUUUUUCUUCGGCUUUUCUCACACCUCAGAAAUCACUUUUAACUUUCCAAAGACAUCUCAGUUCUGCAGCUCAUUGCUAGAAUCUUUGAUGUCAUGACAUAAAAUGUCACAAGGUGAAAAUAAAAAUGAUUUGUGCACAGGACAUUGUAUCUUCAGAGUGUUUAAGCCAGCCUUAGUAAAGGUCAUUAUCAAGAUUAUCCCAUGUGACAAAUUUGGUUGAUAGAUUUUAUUUUGUACCGUGCAUGGGUUUGAAACCGGGUCCUCACACAUACCAGGCAAGCCUGCUACCACUGAGUCACAUCCCCAGACUGGAGCUAGCAUCAUUUUUGUCAUUACAUAGACUGCCUUUAGUUUCUGAGAAGUUCUUCCCUACAAAAGAAACUAAAAAUGAUUGUUGACGAUGAGAAUAGACAUGCUUCAUCUUGGUAAAAAAUAUUUCUAACCCCCUAUUUUUUUUUAAUAAAAAAUAGUCACCAUACAAAUGUAUGAGACCUAAAAUAUACUAAGAUUUGAAAACUAUCACCAAUGUAUUUAUCACAUGAAAUACAUGAUUUGGGGACAGAUUUUAUAGUGUCACAUCUAAUGGACCAUAAGAAGAUAACUGAAAGGAAAAUGGCUUUUCUUUUGUCUGGUUUUCUAUGGACACAUACUGAAUCUGCUAGGAAAACCUUCCGAAUCAUUUUUCUCCCUAGAGAAAUUACUAGACAUUUUUAAAAUCAUAAUUUAAUACAAAAAAUGUGAACAUACCACUAAUCUGUCUGUGACUUAGAAUCUUGACACGGGCUGCCUGUCAUUUGUUAUGGUGUGGUGAAUAGUUUACUUCAACCUCUUAGCCCUUGAGCUUCCUUAGAGGCACAAACAGUGUCGGUGCUCUCUGCUUAGCCUUGUGAGCAAAAUAUAUCGCCAUUGAUCCCGAAGAAAAAUUACAGAGAAGAGCAGUGAACUACAAAGUCCCUACUUCCUAACACAGAAAGAUGUAAAUGGUCUGCAUCAAGUCCUGGAGUUAGAGUGUAGGCUCUUCCUACCAGAUGUGGAUAUUUUGGGCACAUUUUUUUCAGCACUACACAAUCAGAAUCCAGCCCAAAAUAAGGAUGGGAGAAUACGAAACCCUCCUCCAUGUAACGUGUGUUGCUUUUUAUGUGGUGUUAACAAGGUGACUCUGAUGGAAAAUGUAGUCUGUCUUAGUUUAAGACGGAAGGCACAAAAAAGAUGUUUUCCUUCUGGACAGCAGACUUCAGCACUGAGGGAUCAGAGGAACAACUUGAUCGGCACUGUGAGUGCAGACCUAAAGAUUUCACAGCAUUCCUGCCUCCUUGCUAGGCCUUAUGUCUCUUUAAUGGCAUUUAGAUUAUCCUCCUCUGCAGCCACACAGUCAAAACACCAUGUCAUUUUGGAUACCAAAUUGCAAUCAGUCAGGAUGUCGCCAUUAAAGAAUCCAUAUAUGCUGUCUCUUGUUUUCAAUCUUUUGAUAGAAAAGGUAAGAGUACUAUCUUCUAAACUUGGUCUAUAGUUGAAUGAUUCAAAAUGGACAGAGGACAUGCUUUUAUUUAUAGACGUCCCUUCCUUUGUGUAAUGUAUUCCUCUCACAAUUUUAUUUUAACAUUGCCAUCUAUUUACUGUAUCACAUACAUGAUAUGCUUACACAUGAUAUACGGAAAUUAAAAGUAUAUAUUCAAUUAUAGGAAUUUUCUUUUCUCCCAAUGUGAGAUAUUUGAUAUAGAGCAUACUUAUACUAGAAUAGGUAUUAAAUAUAAAGAAAAGGCACCACACUCUGAAUUCUGGAAUGGCAUUCAGUACAGAUGGCGUGUUUCAAAUGUCAUACAAGAAACGAGUUUUAAUUGGAAUAUGUGCUUUUAAAAUAAUGUUUAUUAUAGUGACUUCACACUAAAACCCUUCUGAAAAAAUUAGCAUCUCACUCAGUAUUCCUAAAGAUACACAGGAAAGAUGUUAUGCUUUCUAUAAAACACAAUAUAUCCACCCCAUUUGAUGGUUUAUAUAGUAACACAUGUAGCUAUCCAUCUGUAUCAUCCGUGAGCAAAGAAUAGAGCUGACUUCCAGGACCACAGGGCACCCAUAAUUGGGUGGAGAACUUUGGCUUCACUCUUCCUCGUGUAGCAUAGUAUGGAUUUCAUGCAUUUGCAAGAGGAGGUUUAGGUCACAGACAAAGUAAUAAGGUCACAAUAUGCUAGCUCAUUUUAAAACCAAGGUGGAAAAUAAGUGACUUUAAUACUUUCAUGGGAGUGUUUUUGGGGGGGGGGGGGGUUGUUAUUGUUUUGUUUUGUUUUCUGAAGCUCUCUUAAGUAAGCUUCACCUGAGAAGAGAAUAUUUAUUACCAAAAUGUCUCAGUUUUGGAAAAAGUCAUUUACUACACGUAAGUGAAUUCCUAAAUUUCUGAAUGUUCUGAGUUCUGAGCAACUUAUAUUUAUACUCUCUCUCUCUCUCUCUCUCUCUCUCUCUCUCUCUCUCUCUCUGUGUGUGUGUGUGUGUGUGUGUGUGUGUAGAAAAUUACAUUUUAAGCUAUAAGAACCAUGGAAAUAAAAAAGAGUUCUCAAACUGGAAAAGUCUAAAAUCUUACAGCAUUACUUCACCUCCCUAAGAAACCAGGUAAGGAAUGACAGGUGUAUUUACUGAGAAGGGAGGUGAUUCAAUAUUUUCUUUUAUUGAAUUGGGUUAAAUAGGCCCACAUUGAAUUAAUCUUUGGCAAAAACAUCAUGACAAGUAUUUUACUGACAGACUUUUUUUUAGCCAAAUAGAGCCACAUAAUAUAAUGUUUUAAUUAAAAUACAAUUUUCUUUUGUUAGAAGCAAUGGAAAAGAAGGAAUAGCCAUAUCCGGAGGUGAAAUCAUAGAGAGGAAGUUCUGCACGUGUGUGGGGAACAGUCAGCUUUAGACUAGGACUCUCCUCCCCUCACUCCUAGGAUUCAGGCUAGAUACUGGAAGCCCAUUCCUUGAAUAUAUACAUAUGAAAGAGAGAGAGAGAGAGAGAGAGAGAGGAAUGAUAUAUACAUAUAUAUUCAUUGAUAUAUAAAUACAACCUCUAGUCUUUAAAAUGGUACUUGUCUCUUGUUGGUUUAAUUAAACCUCUUACAUUGUUUUGUUCUGUGUCAUGGUAUUAGCAUGAAACUCUCCUGGCCUAGAACUCAUUAUGUAAACCUGAACUCACAGAGAACUGCCUGCCUCAGCUUCCUCAGUAUCGGAAUUAAAGCAAUAGGCUAUUUUACAUGGAGGAUUGGAGGAUUGGUGUGCAUAUGGGAAGAGUAAAACCUUUAGAACAGUGUAAUAUGAAACUCAGCAAGGAUUUCUUUACAAAUCUAAAAGAAUGAAAUAUAUUUGUGCACACGAAUACAUAUUAGUAGCUACUUGAGUCAUUUCACAAAGCCUUACUAAGUCAUUUAUUUUAUCCAAAUUCACUUUUCAUUAUAUGAGGUCAACACUAGUAGAAUUUGCACUUAAUAUAAAAAGUGCAUUUUAAUGCUACGAAGCACUCAUUUAAAGAACAGCUCAAAUUCCCAUCCAGCUCUAGGCCGUUACGACCAUUACACCAUAUGCCAAGCGCAGCGCCACAUCAGUUGUCACUGCACUCUCUGUAUUUAUGGAACUGAUUCCUUUCUUACAUCCUGUGAACAAGUGUAGAGUCAUUUGAUUAGCUUGUUCCAAUUAUCACAAGGCCAUCGUAUCAAUUCACUUGGAAGAAGGAGAGCCUUCCUUUAAUUGGCUCAUCCCAAUUAUCACAAGGCCUUAGAUUUCUUUCAUUUUCAUUUGGAGGAAGAAUAUCCUUUCAUUCAUUCAUAUAUAAAUAUAUGAAUACUAAUAUAUAUAUGAAUACUAAUAUAUAUGAAUACUAAAAUAUAUAUGAAUAUACACACACACACACACACACACACACACACACACACACACACACACACUAACUCUUGGCCUGUCGUGAUUAAUGAUAUUAAGGAACAAACAGUAACAAGAACAACAAGAACAACAAACCAUAAAAUAGUUGUUGAAUCUUAUUUUCAAUGCUUUUUGGCUAUGAAGAUUCUUUUGUAAACUUGCGUAAGUCAGUAUAGGGCACCUGUGGUCUUGUCAGUAAGAGGGUAUCAGCAUCUGUGAUCUUGACAAUAUGAGCUCUUUUUAUCUUGUGAUUUUGUCCUUAUAAGCACCUGUGCUUUUGUCCUUAUGAGCACCUGUGAUGUUUGUCAGUAUGAGCACUUGUGAUCUUGGGUGUUAAGUUUUUGGGUUUUAUUAAUUCUUUCCUUGGAUCGACAGAAAGCAGGACCCUGAUAAUUGUUUGUUACAUUUUUAAAUUUUAAAAUAUUUUCUGACAUGAAUGUUUCUAUUUUUCUAAUGACUAAAACUUGAGUGUUGAUGUAAUAUUCAUUCUGCUCUUCUUAACUUCAAUCUUGUAAAACGGGAUUCUCCCUAAUAACACGAUCUUGUACAUUUUAUAGAGGCAAUUCUUGUUUCUUCUUCAAAUGACGGGCUGCAUUUGUAUGAAAUAGCCAUCAUUAAAAGUAUCGUAUAUUUUAAGAUAUUUACUGUAGUUUAUAAGUUAGUAAAUACUGGAUAGGUAAGUCUAUAGAUGUAUAUACAGGCCAACCAUUAAGGAGCCUCAUUUGACCUUUCUUACUCAUCUUAGCCAAAAAAAAAAGUGCGAUUUUAAAAAGAUAAGUGUCAUCCAUUAUUAAGGGGCAAAGACAGAGUGCCAACUCUGAGUGAGUUCUUGUAAAAACACUGCAGUAGAUCACAGUGCAGAUGGAAUCUUGUUUGGGAAUCUCAAAGUUAAUAAUUCAUUUGGAGUGUUGGUUUUUAUGUUCCCCUUACCCUAUCAUCCAUAUGACGUAAGCCACCACUGGUUUUACUGAUGUUAAUUUACUAUGACAUUUUAAAAUAUAGGUCAAAGUCAUGUAAACAGAAUGGCACUUAAACAGAUUAUGUCAAACGUGUAACAUGCUGUAUAUUACAUUUGUCUCGUUUUGUUUGUGUUGUUUUCAUUAUGGUGCUCAGGUUGACUUUGAACUCUCAAUCCUCUUGCCUCAGUAUCAUAGUGCUUGUAUUACAGAACAGCGCCAUGCCUACCUCUUCAGCACAAUCCAUUUCUUGUUUCUUUGUUUGUUUAUUUGUCUUAGGACAUGAGACCCCGUAUUCCAGGCUGUCCUAGAACUCACCAUGUCACUGAUUCUCCAGCUUCCACUUCCCAAGUUCUAGGAUUGUAGGUAUGCACCACCAUUCCUACAAUUCUUCGAUCAGGAGAGUAAGCCUCCUGUAUUAUAUUUGUCAGGUUCAAGAGCAAAAUAUUUAAACCUUAGUCUCAUCGCCUUUAAAAAGAUCUGUAGAAAGACAUUUCUUUAAGUAUGGGUGGACAGAUCACGAACACAUUUGGAGAAUGAAAACAUUUCCCCUACUACACCACACUUGAGGAUCUAGUUACCUGUUCAUAAAGAAGUACAGUCAUUAUUACCAAGACCAUUUUCCAUUCAACUGCUAUUGAAUUUCUCGGAAUAGAAAUGCUGUUCAUGCUUGUACACACAGAGCCAAAACCAGAUUCAGCUCCUUCCCCAUUGGAUUAAUCCAGUUCCAAGUCAAAGCACUAGACUACCAUUUUUCACUCACAAAUGCAAAUGAACAGGUACAAUGGUAAUGACUUGCCUUUUUCUUUGUGUGACAUAGAAAGUUCCAACCCUAGUCAUUCCAUCGACAUAUCUUCUACACAGAAGACAGGACAGGCAGUGAAGGCAUUAAAUAAUGCAAUUAAUAACAAAUAAUUUAUGUGAUGCAUAAUUCAUAAUAUAUUCAUGAAGAACAUAACAAAACUUCUAGAUCACUACUUUCCAAGAGGCUUAUUAAGGAAAUAGAUGUUAUAGCUACUUCGCCCCUUAUGCUAUGCCCUGUAUGACAAGUGUUCUUGUUACACGUACAACCACAGGACUCCACCAGAGACCUUCACAGGGGAAUCCUAGGCUCUGAUCAGCACUCCCUGAAACUCCCACAGUCUCUAUCUGAGGAGGAGACUUAGUCAGCUUUCAUCUUCGUUUAAUGUCAAUUCCUCCAAAUUUCUGAGUUUGCUCAUUUGUUUUUCCAGAACUAAUGGUUUCUCAGACCUUAAUUUGAAAAAGCCAGCCACUGCCCAAUUAUUUGAUCAUUUGUUCAAGUGAAAAUACUCCUCUAAAUUCCGUUUGUUUUAAGCUUUUGAAG